GGGCUCCCCACCAGCUCCGGAGGUGGCGGCGAUGCGGACCGAGUGAGCGGCGGUGGGGCCAGGCCGGGCGCCGGGCGGGAGCCGAGGCCGCGGCGGACUCCGCAAUCCCGCAGCCGGUGACUGGAGCCCACCUCUGCAGAGACAAAGGAACUGCUCUGGUGAACUCCCCCUGAAAGUAAAUGUCCUUGGCUGGCCUCCAGCAUUCCCCUCAUGGGCAUAGCCAUGCAGCCUUCAGAACCUUCCUGAAAGAGGGCUUGUUUCAAAUAGGUGAGGCUAUCGCUUUCCUGAAGAACAGCGGAGGACGUACCAACCGACGUCUGAGAUGCACACAGCAAGCUGGUUUAAAACCAGCGGCGAACAGAACAAAGGCAAUACAAAUAAAUAUGACACCUACUGAAAAUAACGGAACACAGCGGCAGCCACCGCAUAAAGAACUAGCGAUUUCAGGCGAUUACAAGGGCGGUUCAAAACGAAAGCAAGUUAAAAAAUGAGACGCAUUUUACAAGGCGAUUUGCCAGAGUUGCCAGAUUAUUUAAUUUGUAUGGACUAUAGAAAAAUAAUUGUCAACUUGGACAUUGUCUUUAAAUUCUUGUCACUGGCCCAAUCUUUUUCUUAAGUUUAAGGAAGCUGCAGAGCUGGACUACAAGUUACAUUCUUCAGCUAAUACGUGCUUUUCUAAUAUUUUCCCCGAGAUAUUACAUUUAGAAAAUACGCAAAGAAACCUUUUAGGAGUAAACAAAACGCACCCGAACUAUUCAUUAUAAAGGAAAGAAUAAAAAAUCCAUAAAUAAUACAUUGUAAUCAAAUAAUAUAAAGUAUUCUGCAGACAUAAUUUUUUUUAAUUAAUAAACUCCUUUUAAUUUACUCACCACAAAUAUUAAAAUGUUCAAGUG
rnacentral:lncRNA from 1 species